rnacentral:rRNA from 1 species
AAUGAACGUUGGCGGCGUGGAUUAGGCAUGCAAGUCGAACGAGCCUCUGGGGGGUAACUCCUAGAGGAAAGUGGCGAAAGGGGCAGUAAUGUAUGGGUAACCUACCUUGAGGUCUGGGAUAGCUAUUCUAACGGAUAGGUAAUACCGGACGGCCUGAGUUGUCGGCAUCGAUGAUUUAGUAAAGGUUACGCCUCGAGAGGGGCCCAUAUGAUAUUAGCUAGUUGGUGAGGUAAUGGCUCACCAAGGCAAA